rnacentral:rRNA from 1 species
UACGUAGGGUGCGAGCGUUAAUCGGAAUUACUGGGCGUAAAGGGCUCGUAGGUGGCCAACUAAGUCAGACGUGAAAUCCCCAGGCUUAACCUGGGAACUGCGUCGGAUACUGGAUGGCUUGAAUCCGGGAGGGGGAUGCAGAAUUCCAGGUGUAGCGGUGAAAUGCGUAGAUAUCUGGAGGAACACCGGUGGCGAAGGCGACAUCCUGGACCGGUAUUGACGCUGAGGCGCGAAAGCCAGGGGAGCAAACGGG